AUCUGAGCAAAGGUGUCUGGUCCCUUUCCCUCGGCUGCUCCAGCCAGGCCAGGCUAAAAUGAAGAGGCUGUAAAACCCAGGUGACGCUUUGUGAUGUGUCUUCCUAUGAGCAACAGCCUCAUAAUGAAGCUUUUAAUGGUGGUUGUAAACAAGUCAAUAUCUCCAACUAUAUAUCCAAAAUGAAAGAGGCCGAAGGAACUAUGAAGGUUUUUAAUGUCCGAAUAAAUUACUCCUGCCGUGGCAAUAGCAAUGUGUGAAGCAUUUGAUUAUUUCCAGCUAUUAGUGAUGCUGGCGAAGACAGAAAUAUUCAUGCUCUGCAUUUAACUGGAAAUUAAGAGAAUGUAUCAUUUGGUGACAGGAACUUUUACAAAGGGCUGCUCGCCUUUCCAUCAGCUCCCCAACUAAUAAAUCACUGGCAGGACUUUGAGAAACUUGAUUUACAGCUCAGACCUGCUGGUGGGUGCUUGCCGAGGCUGCGUUCCUGAAAAUCCCCUGGCAGAUGGAGGUGUGCUGGGAUUCUCCUGUUCUUGGAGAGAAUGCUGGAGGCUCAUUUAAGGUUUGCUUGGAGAGCUGGAAAGAAUGACUUACGAGGGAAAGCCAGCUGUCCGCCCACCAGGCAGCAACUGCAGCCUGCUGUGCUCCCAGUACUUUUCCGCCUGGCUGCCUGCACCAUGCCACGGCUGUGGGGAGCUUUGGGGUGACACUGAACACGGGAGAUGUCUCUUAGCUGCAGGCAAGUGCCGGAAGGGGGGGUGGGAAGUUUAGGAAAAGAGUAGGAUUGAGAGGGGGAGAGGUCCUGCGAUGGACUUGAAACCUUUGUCGGUCAUGUCCAUGGGACUGCCGAGCUGUUUGGUGGGUCCCAGGGGAGGGAUGCGCCGACCGCUCCGGACCCACAGCAUAAGGAUCUUCCCCGGCUGCAAGGCUAAGAACAGAGAUGGGGAGUGUUGAACUCGCAGCUUUCUGGGGUUAGGGGGAUGCCCGCCGGGAGCAUCAGACCUUGGCUCGACUCGGUGGGCACCUGCCCGCAGCAGUGGGGCUGCUGGAGGUUCCGUUUCCACGUGGGUCCGGGGCACUUCUGCAUGCACCCGUGUCCCCAAGCAUCCGGGACCCUGCUGCAGUGGCUGAGACUUGAUGCCACCACAAGUGGGGGCUCCUCUUGUGGAAGUGGUGCACCCCUCUAUAAAUGACCUGCAAAUUAAAGAUUAUCUGGUAAUUUCUGUGUGCUGGAGCAGACACUAAAGGAGCAUUUACUAACCCACUGGUAUUGUUAUGCAAACAACUCUAGCUCAUCUCAAUAAUAAAAGGCUUUUUAAUACCUGCUCAGCUGUUGAUGAGCGUGCUGUCUGCUUUCAGCCUUGCUUGUUACGGCUGCAGAGCUACUUCUGGUCAUGCUCGUACCUCAGGGCACAAAGAAGAGGUUGAAACCUCGGAAGAGAGUGUGGCUCUGUGUGGAGAGGCCCCGGAGGAGGCCAGCGUGCGAAGGACCAUCCCACAGGGUUUCAGAGCUCAGGAUGGCCCCACUGACUUCCUUUGCAGGCACCUGGCUCGUUUGUGAUGAGCAGUGAUGAUCUGACCUUUCGUGCUCUCAUUUCUUGUGUUUUAUCACUGGGCAAAGCACUUGUACUAUAAAAGCCAGGAUUUCACAGACCCGAUAAUGUCUGCAGACUCAAAUAUAAAAUGAAGUCCUCAAAUGCAGCAAUAUAUAAAUCAUCGGUAGCACGGUCACAGCGUGGGCUCACACUUCCAGCUGAGAAAAAGUCCUCAAGGUCCUGACGGAGCAAUCAAGAUAAGAUUGCAGGGUUGAAGGCAGAUGAGGGAUGUGAUGAGCUGUAAAUCCUCUGGAGCUGUUGGGGCCAGCAGCAGCAAGAUGAGGCUGUGCCUCUCCCCAGCUUCAGUCUGGCUGUGCCCACGCAAUGUCUUCACAUUGUUUUUGGCAACUUUCCCUUACAAGCAAAGGGAAGAAAAAUGGGCAGGCUGGUCUGGAUGCAACCACCAGCCUGCAGCCCCCGAGAAUUACACCGGCAAUUGUUUCUGACUGCAGGAACCUGCUGUGGAGAAGCUAGAUGUGCUGGCUGGUUGGAGGAAACGUGCAAACCGGGAUGAACUUGAGACGCAAGGAACUUGGAUUGCACUGUACCAUUUCUGCCAUGGAUUGCUAUAGCUGAUGAGUAUUUUUUAUAACGAGUAAGCACAUUCUCAUUGCUUUUAUCUAAUGUGUGUGUGCAGGUGCAUUUAGGAACAGGUAUGAACCCUUCUGGGAAAGGUGAAGCGUUAAUGCUGGUAAAUCAAAUGACCCCUCAUUUGGAUCUGAUGUGCUGAAUCCUGCCGUAAAGUGGGAUCUGCUCUCAGGUUCCCACUGCGGGGAAGCUUGGCUGGAAGCAGAUGCUUGCACCAAUCAUGGUACAGCAGCAGUGCAUGACACUGUUUAUUCCUCCCCUCCCUUUUGCAUGAUAAAAUAACCUAUGAAAAUAAAUAACAAGAGCUUAAUAGGCACAUGGGACAGGGCCUUUGGCAAGCAAUGCCAAUCAGCUGUGCCUUGGCAAGGCUUCUCUAAUUAAAAACUGCAAAUUAUAGCUGGCUGGAGCUGAUUGCAAGGGCUGGCUGGGUUCGGGGGGUUUGCUCUGGGAGGUGAAACGUGGCUGGUUGCUCCUUCCAUUGACUCUUUCUCUCCCAUCAGGGUGCUGGGGGCUUGGAAAGCCGAGGAUUGUGCUGUCCUGGUGCCUGUCCCGGCGGAGCGGGGUGGGGUUUGGCAAGUCCAAACCAGAAAGCGGAGCCAAGCGCGUUAGCUGCUUCCUCGAGGGAAUCGCUCUGCCUCGCAGCCAGCCAACUAGGUUGGAAGUGCCAGCGCUGGCGCACGAUCCGCCGGUCGCACGUCUGCCUCCGCCCUGCUCAGAGAAGCGAGCAGCUGGUCACCUCCCGGUAGCAGAAGUGGUGUGUUCAGCUGGGCCAAGCAGCAAUUGCAUCCCUCGAGGGACGGCAAAAUAG